rnacentral:rRNA from 1 species
UACAGAGGUCUCAAGCGUUGUUCGGAAUCACUGGGCGUAAAGCGUGCGUAGGCUGUUUCGUAAGUCGUGUGUGAAAGGCGCGGGCUCAACCCGCGGACGGCACAUGAUACUGCGAGACUAGAGUAAUGGAGGGGGAACCGGAAUUCUCGGUGUAGCAGUGAAAUGCGUAGAUAUCAGGAGGAACAUCGGUGGCGAAAGCGCUUUACUGGACCAUUAUUGACGCUGAGGAACGAAAGCCAGGGGAGCAAAUGGG